GACGAACGCUGGCGGCGUGCCUAAUACAUGCAAGUCGAGCGCGUGAAACAACAUGAUCCCUUCGGGGUGAUUGUUGUGGAUCGAGCGGCGGACGGGUGAGUAACACGUGGGUAACCUACCUGAGAGAUCGGGAUAACCCCGGGAAACCGGGGCUAAUACCGAAUAAUCGUUGGAACCGCAUGGUUCCAACGUAAAAGGCGGCUUUUGCCGUCACUUGCAGAUGGACCCGCGGCGCAUUAGCUAGUUGGUAAGGUAACGGCUUACCAAGGCAACGAUGCGUAGCCGACCUGAGAGGGUGAUCGGCCACACUGGGACUGAGACACGGCCCAGACUCCUACGGGAGGCAGCAGUAGGGAAUCUUCCGCAAUGGACGAAAGUCUGACGGAGCAACGCCGCGUGAACGAUGAAGGUCUUCGGAUCGUAAAGUUCUGUUGUUAGGGAAGAACAAGUACCAGAGGAAAUGCUGGUACCUUGACGGUACCUAACCAGAAAGCCACGGCUAACUACGUGCCAGCAGCCGCAGUAAUAC
rnacentral:rRNA from 1 species